rnacentral:misc_RNA from 1 species
GAAAUGCGAUACUUGGUGUGAAUUGCAGAAUCCCGUGAACCAUCGAGUCUUUGAACGCAAGUUGCGCCCGAAGCCAUUAGGCCGAGGGCACGCCUGCCUGGGUGUCACACAUCGUUUCCCCAACGCAAACAUGUAACAAUGUUGCUGCGCGGGGUGUAUGCUGACCUCCCGCGAGCACCCGCCUCGUGGUUGGUUGAAAUCUGGGUUCAUGGCCGACUUCGCCGUGAUAAAAUGGUGGAUGAGCCACGCUCGUUGCGUGCACGCACGCUCCCAACGAGACCUCAGGUCAGGCGGGGCUACCCGCUGAGUUUAA